CACUUAAUGAACGGCUCCUCUCAUCAAUGCGAUUCGGUUUCUAUCCUUUACCCAAACAGCGGUUCAAAGACCUACUUAGUUACAUCCUCUACUUCCGGAAACAACCGGAUAUUCUUGUGAAUCAGGAAGAACUUGAAAACAUCGGCAAUCAGAGCCAACAACGUGUAUUUAAGAAUUAAUGGACCAGUGAUUUGGAGAGUAACGUUGUAGUCGCUGUGUUUACGUCCCUUCUCCUCGCUAUUUGAUCACGUGUGUCUAUGUUGCGCUAACUCGCUUCAUUACCAAAAUUUGCUUGCUGUGUUGGUUGGUGGCUGGAGGCUCUGGAGAAACAGUGGCCAUCAAACCCUGAAUGACCAAGGCUUGGUCAUGAUGGACCAUAGGAGAGCCCUAACUAUUUCACUAGCCGUUGACAAGGUGGAUAACUCAAAAGUAUGUCUGUUCUGCAUCUUCAUCUUUUGUGACAUAAUUCCACCUAGUCAGACCUUUGUGAUGUAACAUUCAUCAUAUAUUAUUCCCUGCGUUUAUUAUGCAUGAACUGGAAUUGAUCACCCAAACAGUAAAAUGCCCCUUUCUGCUUUUUAAAAGGGAAGUCCACUCAAAAUUCCCAAGACCCUCCGUUCUUCAGAGACAGGAUGUGGGAAUGAAGAGUCACAGAUUCACUGGACCCAAAUUGCUGGAAACAGAAUCAAGCUCCAAGAUUCUUGUCAGCAUAAUGGAUCCAUCUCUUUGGAUCCUGGCCUGGUGGCAACAAACUGCAGGCAGUUUCAUUUGGUGCUCACAGAUGUUCUGAAGACGGAACAAGGACAGGCCUACCUAG
rnacentral:lncRNA from 1 species